UACAGAGGGUGCGAGCGUUAAUCGGAAUUACUGGGCGUAAAGCGCGCGUAGGCGGCUUUGCAAGUCGGGUGUGAAAUCUUGGAGCUUAACUCCGAAACUGCAUUCGAUACUGCCGUGCUUGAGGACUGGAGAGGAGACUGGAAUUCAUGGUGUAGCAGUGAAAUGCGUAGAGAUCAUGAGGAAGACCAGUGGCGAAGGCGGGUCUCUGGACAGUUCCUGACACUGAGACACGAAGGCCAGGGGAGCAAACGGG
rnacentral:rRNA from 1 species